GUCCACGGCCAUGCUACCCUGAACAAGCCCCAUCCCGUCUGAUCUGGGAAGCUAAGCAGGGUCGGGCCUGGUUAGUACUUGGAUGGGAGACCACCUAGGAAGACCAGGUGCUGUA
rnacentral:rRNA from 1 species